UCUGGCCUAUGAUGAUGAACCAAUAUAUUGCUUGCAUUGCUUGAUUCGUUUGUAUGAAAAGAAUGUACUAUAUUCUGAGGCCUCC